AUUAAUGCAACCCUGAACUCCUAUAAGCGGUACAUUGGGAAAACCCCUGCAGCUGCAGAUAAAAUCUUGUCCAACCCCGCUACUGUGAGUCCAAUCUAUGUCUUUGGCCCUCAAACCCAUCAGCUUGGUCGCCCAAUUAACAUUCUGACCAAGAAGAACAAAGGCACCCUUAGACGGCAAAUAACCCAUAAACCACUUGUAUAGCAACUGAGCACAGCAUCGAAUCAAACCCCCACGCCUCUUCUCGUUCCGAUUAUGGACCGAG
rnacentral:lncRNA from 1 species